UGAGGUAGAGGUGCGGUAUUUAAUAGUUUUGUAUGGAGUCAUUGAGCUGACAGUGAAGUAUAAAAGAAGGAAAUAUCGCCGAAGUGUUGUUUUAGCUCGAUUUAACAGCGCUGGGUCUGUAAUAAAUAAUUGCAGGACUGUCUCAAUCUUCUUCCCGGAUGAUUGAGGUGUGCUAUCU
rnacentral:ncRNA from 1 species